rnacentral:rRNA from 1 species
CAGUAGCCGCGGUAAUACGGAGGGGGCUAGCGUUGUUCGGAAUUACUGGGCGUAAAGCGCACGUAGGCGGCUUUGUAAGUUAGAGGUGAAAGCCCGGAGCUCAACUCCGGAAUUGCCUUUAAGACUGCAGAGCUAGCAGGUGAGAGAGGUGAGCGGAAUUCCGAGUGUAGAGGUGAAAUUCGUGGAUAUUCGGAAGAACACCAGUGGCGAAGGCGGCUCACUGGCUCAUACUGGAUGCUGAGGUGCGAAAGCGUGGGGAGCAAGCAGGAUUAGAUACCCCUGUAGUCCCUGUCUCUUAUCA